ACGCACGCUGGCGGCGUGCUUCACCCCUGCAAGUCGAACGGAAAGGCCCCUUUGGGGGUACUCGAGUGGCGAACGGGUGAGUAACACGUGAGUAACCUGCCCUUGACUUCGGGAUAACUUCAGGAAACUGGGGCUAAUACCGGAUAGGAAUCCUUGCUGCAUGGUGGGGGUUGGAAAGCUUCGGCGGUUUUGGAUGGACUCGCGGCUUAUCAGCUUGUUGGUGGGGUAGUGGCUUACCAAGGCUUUGACGGGUAGCCGGCCUGAGAGGGCGACCGGCCACAUUGGGACUGAGAUACGGCCCAGACUCCGACGGGAGGCAGCAGGGGGGAAUAUUGCACAAUGGGCGGAAGCCUGAUGCAGCAACGCCGCGGGCGGGAGGACGGCCUUCGGGUUGUAAACCGCUUUCAGCAGGGGCGAAGCUUGUGGUGACGGUACCUGCAGAAGAAGCACCGGCUAACUACGUG
rnacentral:rRNA from 1 species